rnacentral:miRNA from 1 species
AUCAUGGCAUAUCCUCUUCCCU